UCUCCGUUGGUGAACCAGCGGAGGGAUCAUUACUGAGUCGUAAAAAACUCCCAACCCAUGUGAAUUUACCUAUGUUGCCUCGGCAGGACCUACCCGGGACCUACCCUGUAGCCUGCCGGCGGACACCUUAACCCUUGUUAUUUUAUGGAAAUCUGAGCGUCUUAUUAAAUAAGUCAAAACUUUCAACAACGGAUCUCUUGGUUCUG
rnacentral:misc_RNA from 1 species